CAAGUACUCCCUCCGUCCGGAAAUACUUGUCCUUGGAAUGGUUGUAUCUGAACUUAUUUUAGUUACAAAUACAUUCAUUUUAUCCAUUUGUAGGACAAGUAUUUUCGGACGGAGGGGGUGCUAG
rfam:Triticum urartu cultivar G1812 contig1454855, whole genome shotgun sequence.